GGGAGCAAUGGCUUUGAGGUAACAUUUUAAAUGUAGUGUCUGCAACUGGAUCCUGCUUCUAAAUUCACUGUACAUCAAUCCUCCUCUCAUCUAAAUCCUAAACAAAGCUCCUACUGAUUGCACCAGUCUAUUUUCAGAUAGGCAUUCCGGAUGAAAGCGAAUCAGAAAAUUAUGCAAGCUUCAGAGGACUUCCCUAAAGAGGAUCUCUUUUAAGACACCAGAACACUUGUUACCUUCUCUGCAGCCAUGCACACCUUCCCAGCCUCAUCCUGGUGAUUAAUUUCAUGUGAGCCUCACUUCCUGCUGGGUGGAUCAGUUACCUUUGCCAUUUCAGCUGCAAAUCCUGAAUUUGCCAUGUGGCACACCCUAAAAGUAACACCACUCCUGACCCCAAAAUCAUUAACAGUGCAGAAGACUCAGUGCAGAGCUGUGGUAGCUCUGGGAAACCAAAUACUCUCCUUUUAAUUGGGUCCCAGACUUCUCUGAGAGGGGAGGAUCAUUCUCUUCCUCCAAGUAACAAGUGACAGGACAAGAGGAAACAGCCUCCAACGGUUCCAGGAAGGUUGAGACUGGGUAUUAGGAAAAAUCUCUUCACUGAAAGGAUUGCCAAGCACUGGAACAGGCUGCCCAGGGAAGGAGCUGGUGUCAUCAACCCUGGAGGUGAUUAAUAGAUCUGUGGAAGUGCCACCAAAACUGUACAUCUGCUGCAUGAUCCUUCACUAGCUGGACAGGAUGCAGUGGGGUUGAUCUAAUUCAGGUAUUCUGAAUCUUUCUCAUGAGGUGUUUUUACACAUUCCAGACUUAGAAGCUGAGUUAUUUUCUUCCUGGUAGCAGGAGGGAAAAUUGCACGGUUCAUACCAGUCACCAAAUGUCGUACUUACUUUUUGAAGGACUGCUCUGAGAGCU